UAGGGUACCUAACUAACUCCAAAGUCACCGCAGCUCAGUGUGGUAAUAGUCUAUGUACGACACUUUAGUAUAAAACGCACCCCGCGGUUGUUCGGACGCCGCCACGAGUUCGCCACAGUGAAAGUCACCGAUAUCGUCGGUUUUUGGUUUUCGGGAGAUAUAAGACUACCGUUUCGACUACGUACAUAGGCUGCCCCGUAGUGUAUUUAAUCGUAAGUUCCAUCCAAGGUCAGACGUCUAGCCCACCCUGCCAUACCGACCUUAUGCGAACCAUUGUCCCUCCUAAUGGUGACGACACAUGUUCUGGAGGUUCCUUCUGGUGGCAGUCAUUCGAUGCUCUUGUUCCCGGUAAUUAAAAAACGUUCACCUCUACGUUGGUAACCUUUGGUCUUGCUACUGCGAUGAAGCCGCUUACUCUGACCCUGUCCGAGCGGCCUAACAACCGCGGUUUCUUCGCUUUUCUCUAACAACCGCGGUUUGAUCGGCUCUCUUCCGCGGCAUGGUGGUACCACAACGCCUUGAUUUACACACACCCUUAAUACGUGAAUAAUCAACAUACAACAAAAGUCCGAAUGACAUACACAAACAUACGACAUCAGAACCAUUACCGUUGGACCGAACAAAUACUCAAUCUUUUUUGAGGAAGUCCACAGACAACUUGG
rnacentral:rRNA from 1 species